rnacentral:rRNA from 1 species
UACGUAGGGCGCAAGCGUUGUCCGGAAUUAUUGGGCGUAAAGAGCUCGUAGGCGGUCUGUUGCGUCUGCUGUGAAAACUCAGGGCUUAACCCUGAGCUUGCAGUGGAUACGGGCAGACUAGAGUGCGGUAGGGGAGACUGGAAUUCCUGGUGUAGCGGUGAAAUGCGCAGAUAUCAGGAGGAACACCGGUGGCGAAGGCGGGUCUCUGGGCCGUAACUGACGCUGAGGAGCGAAAGCAUGGGGAGCGAACAGG